UCCUACGGGANCNCNAGGCAGCANUAGGGAAUUGCANGCAAGCNUCAGCAGCAACGGCCGNGGAAUGAAGUCGUUUGGUUAGUCAACCCCUUCCAGCAGGGANGAAAAUGGCGGGUCCUGCCAAAGAAAACCCCGCCCAAUUUGUUCCCCCACNCCCGGUUAAAAAUAGGGGGCGGGGGUUGUUCCGGAAUCUUNGGGGUAAAAAGGUAUUAGGGGGGUCAUGUAAUUUGGUGUGAAAAUUCCGNGGCACCUUCGGACGCCCAUCNGGUAACGGGUGGCUUGAGUACGGUAGGGGAGGGUGGAAUUCCCGGUGUAGCGGUGAAAUGCGCAGAUAUCNGGAGGAACACCAGCGGGGAAGGCGGCGUUUUGGGCCGGUACUGACGCUGAGGAGCGAAAGCGUGGGUAGCAAACAGGAUUAGAUUCCCUGGUAGUUCACGCCGUAAACGUUGGGCGCUAGGUGUGGGGCNCANUCCACGGUUUCCGUGCCGUAGCUAACGCAUAAGCNCCCNC
rnacentral:rRNA from 1 species